rnacentral:rRNA from 1 species
UGGGUGGAUCAGUGGCGAACGGGUGAGUAACACGUGAGCAACCUGCCCUCCACUUCGGGAUAAGCCUUGGAAACGGGGUCUAAUACCGGAUAUGAGCACUUGCCGCAUGGUGGGUGUUGGAAAGUUUUUCGGUGGGGGAUGGGCUCGCGGCCUAUCAGCUUGUUGGUGGGGUGAUGGCCUACCAAGGCGUCGACGGGUAGCCGGCCUGAGAGGGCGACCGGCCACACUGGGACUGAGACACGGCCCAGACUCCUACGGGAGGCAGCAGUGGGGAAUAUUGCACAAUGGGCGAAAGCCUGAUGCAGCGACGCCGCGUGAGGGAUGACGGCCUUCGGGUUGUAAACCUCUUUCAGCAGGGAAGAAGGCCUUCGGGUGGACGGUACCUGCAGAAGAAGCGCCGGCUAACUACGUGCCAGCAGCCGCGGUAAUACGUAGGGCGCAAGCGUUGUCCGGAAUUAUUGGGCGUAAAGAGCUCGUAGGCGGUCUGUCGCGUCUGGUGUGAAAUCCCAUGGCUCAACUGUGGGCGUGCAUCGGGUACGGGCAGACUAGAGUGCGGUAGGGGAGACUGGAAUUCCUGGUGUAGCGGUGGAAUGCGCAGAUAUCAGGAGGAACACCGAUGGCGAAGGCAGGUCUCUGGGCCGCAACUGACGCUGAGGAGCGAAAGCAUGGGG